GAUAUGGCUCAGGAUUAACGCUGGCGGCAUGCCUAAGACAUGCAAGUCGUACGAAGCGGCCCAAAGAAACCUGAGUGCUUGCACAAAGGUGGACUUGGAUUACCGCUUAGUGGCGGACGGGUGAGUAACACGUGGGUAAUCUGCCUUUAAGUUGGGGAUAACAUAGGGAAACCUGUGCUAAUACCGAAUAUUAUAUAGGAAUGAUUUUCUUAUAUUGAAAGGUGCCUUUAAAGCAUCGCUUAAAG
rnacentral:rRNA from 1 species